AUCAUCGGACCGCAUGGUCCGAGGAUGAAAGGCGCUUCGGCGUCGCCUGGGGAUGGCUUUGCGGUGCAUUAGCUAGUUGGUGGGGUAAUGGCCCACCAAGGCGACAAUGCAUAGCCGACCUGAGAGGGUGAUCGGCCACACUGGGACUGAAACACGGCCCAGACUCCUACGGGAGGCAGCAGUAGGGAAUCUUCCACAAUGGACGAAAGUCUGAUGGAGCAACGCCGCGUGAACGAUGAAGGCCUUCGGGUCGUAAAGUUCUGUUGUAAGGGAAGAACAAGUGCCGCAGGCAAUGGCGGCACCUUGACGGUACCUUGCGAGAAAGCCACGGCUAACUACGUGCCAGCAGCCGCGGUAAUACGUAGGUGGCAAGCGUUGUCCGGAAUUAUUGGGCGUAAAGCGCGCGCAGGCGGCCUCUUAAGUCUGAUGUGAAAGCCCCCGGCUCAACCGGGGAGGGCCAUUGGAAACUGGGAGGCUUGAGUAUAGGAGAGAAGAGUGGAAUUCCACGUGUAGCGGUGAAAUGCGUAGAGAUGUGGAGGAACACCAGUGGCGAAGGCGACUCUUUGGCCUAUAACUGACGCUGAGGCGCGAAAGCGUGGGGAGCAAACAGGAUUAGAUACCCUGGGUAGUCCACGCCGUAAC
rnacentral:rRNA from 1 species